rnacentral:pre_miRNA from 1 species
AGGCAAGAUGUUGGCAUAGCUGAGUGUAAUUCGCCAUCAGCUGUGCUGCGGAUUGCCACC